UACGUAGGGUGCAAGCGUUAAUCGGAAUUACUGGGCGUAAAGGGCUCGUAGGCGGCCAACUAAGUCAGACGUGAAAUCCCUCGGCUUAACCGGGGAACUGCGUCUGAUACUGGAUGGCUUGAGGUUGGGAGAGGGAUGCGGAAUUCCAGGUGUAGCGGUGAAAUGCGUAGAUAUCUGGAGGAACACCGGUGGCGAAGGCGGCAUCCUGGACCAAUUCUGACGCUGAGGAGCGAAAGCCAGGGGAGCAAACGGG
rnacentral:rRNA from 1 species